AAAUGAAUUGACGGGGGCCCGCACAAGCAGCGGAGCAUGUGGUUUAAUUCGAAGCAACGCGAAGAACCUUACCAGGGCUUGACAUCCCUUGAAGUGCGUGGAAACACGUACGCCCUUCGGGGCAAGGAGACAGGUGGUGCAUGGUUGUCGUCAGCUCGUGUCGUGAGAUGUUGGGUUAAGUCCCGCAACGAGCGCAACCCUUAUGGUUAGUUGCCAGCACGAAAGGUGGGAACUCUAAUCAGACUGCCGGGGAUAACUCGGAGGAAGGUGGGGACGACGUCAAAUCAUCAUGCCCCUUAUGUUCUGGGCUACACACGUGCUACAAUGGCCGGUACAGAUGGUUGCGAAGCCGAGAGGUGAAGCGAAUCCCAAAAAGCCGGUCCCAGUUCGGAUUGUGGGCUGCAACCCGCCCACAUGAAGCCGGAGUUGCUAGUAAUCGCGAAUCAGCAUGUCGCGGUGAAUGCGUUCCCGGGCCUUGUACACACCGCCCGU
rnacentral:rRNA from 1 species